CACGUAGGGCGCAAGCGUUGUCCGGAAUUAUUGGGCGUAAAGAGCUCGUAGGUGGUUUGUUACGUCCGCUGUGAAAUCCUAGGGCUUAACCCUGGGCUUGCAGUGGAUACGGGCAGACUAGAGGUAGGUAGGGGAGAAUGGAAUUCCUGGUGUAGCGGUGAAAUGCGCAGAUAUCAAGUGGAACACCAGUGGCGAAGGCGAGUCUCUGGACAUUUCCUGACGCUGAGGCACGAAAGCCAGGGGAGCAAACGGG
rnacentral:rRNA from 1 species